rnacentral:rRNA from 1 species
CCUACGGGAGGCAGCAGUAGGGAAUCUUCCACAAUGGGCGAAAGCCUGAUGGAGCAACGCCGCGUGGGUGAAGAAGGUCUUCGGAUCGUAAAACCCUGUUGUUAGAGAAGAAAGUGCGUGAGAGUAACUGUUCACGUGUCGACGGUAUCUAACCAGAAAGCCACGGCUAACUACGUGCCAGCAGCCGCGGUAAUACGUAGGUGGCAAGCGUUAUCCGGAUUUAUUGGGCGUAAAGGGAACGCAGGCGGUCUUUUAAGUCUGAUGUGAAAGCCUUCGGCUUAACCGGAGUAGUGCAUUGGAAACUGGGAGACUUGAGUGCAGAAGAGGAGAGUGGAACUCCAUGUGUAGCGGUGAAAUGCGUAGAUAUAUGGAAGAACACCAGUGGCGAAAGCGGCUCUCUGGUCUGUAACUGACGCUGCGGUUCGAAAGCGUGGGUAGCAAACAGGAUUAGAUACCCGAGUAGUC